AUUGAACGCUGGCGGCCGGCCUAACACAUGCAAGUCGAGCGAGCGGGUGACGGGUGAGUAAUGUCUGGGGACUGACCGAUAGAGGGGGGUACAUACUGGAACAGAGAGCUAAUACCGCCUACUCUCGGAUAACAAAUAUGGGAUUCGCUAGUAGGUGUGGUAAUGGCUCCCCUAGGCGACGCUCCCGAGCUGGUCUGAGCGGAUGAUCAGCCACACUGGGACGGAGACACUGCCCAGACUCCUCCGGAGGAAGCAGUGGGGAAUAUUGCACAAUGGGCGCAAGCCUGAUGCAGCCAUGCCGCGUGUCUGAAGAAGGCCCUAGGGUUGUAAAGGACUUUCAGUCAGGAGGCGUUACCGACAGAAGAAGCACCGGCUAACUCCGUGCCAGCAGCCGCGGUAAUAC
rnacentral:rRNA from 1 species